CAGCCGCACGGGAAUACAGAGGGUGCGAGCGUUAAUCGGAUUUACUGGGCGUAAAGCGUGCGUAGGCGGCUUCUUAAGUCGGAUGUGAAAUCCCUGAGCUUAACUUAGGAAUUGCAUUCGAUACUGGGAAGCUAGAGUAUGGGAGAGGAUGGUAGAAUUCCAGGUGUAGCGGUGAAAUGCGUAGAGAUCUGGAGGAAUACCGAUGGCGAAGGCAGCCAUCUGGCCUAAUACUGACGCUGAGGUACGAAAGCAUGGGGAGCAAACAGGAUUAGAUACCCGCGUAGUCCCUGUCUCUUAUACA
rnacentral:rRNA from 1 species